UACGGAGGGGGCGAGCGUUGUUCGGAAUCAUUGGGCGUAAAGGGCGCGUAGGCGGCCGUCCAAGUCGGGUGUGAAAUCCCUCGGCUCAACCGAGGAACUGCACUCGAUACUGGUCGGCUAGAGUCCGGGAGGGGAUGGUGGAAUUCCCAGUGUAGCGGUGAAAUGCGUAGAUAUUGGGAAGAACACCGGUGGCGAAGGCGGCCGUCUGGACCGGAACUGACGCUGAGGCGCGAAAGCCAGGGGAGCGAAUGGG
rnacentral:rRNA from 1 species